CUUGCAGAGGGAGCUCUCGGCAGCUCUGGGGUCCCUCUGCUCGCCGCCGCAGCAGCGCCGCCUGCGCCACUCGGCGGAGACGGAGACCAGCGGCGGCGGCGCGCGGACUGGGAGCAACCGCGGAGCAGCCAAGCGGCAGGGGUACGCUCGCAGAGCGGCCGGGAUGCACCUGCGGAUUCUACCCAACCAGAGACGAAGUUCACCGAUCGCAGCCUUGAAGAUUUUCUGGUGACCCAGGGAGGAGCGCCUUUGGUACUUAAGGGAAUCUGACUCAAGACUGUAUUCUGAACUCCCAUACCUUAGAUAUCACGGAUAACAAUCGGAGCCAGCAUCAACGGGACAGUUUCUGCUCCAUUCAGCUGAUUGUUCCCAUUAUGAAGAUGCCAGCCCAAUAUUGACAGAUAUUCCAGGAGUUUUGUUGAAAAAGGGAAUCAGAAAUCUAGAUUUUUGUAAUAUAAUAUCUUCAGAUAUUUAGGUGGUAGCAACUCAAUCAGGUGUUUUUAAAUUGCAUGAACGGAUUAAACUAUAUAUAUAUGUGUGGGCUUUCACUUGGAGAAAAGAGUGAAGAGAAAUUCCAAGGCCAGAUCCUAGACAUUUCCGCAUUUGGAAAUAGGAUAAUGGAGAAGAAAACUGAAAGGGGGCAGCCAGGAAGACAGAAAUCCACAAGCGUGUUGAAUUUGGAAUCCAAGGGCAGAGAACGUUUAGGUGGGGGGAAGUGGUCAGCCGUGUCUAGUGCUGCUGAGAGGUCAACUUGGGCCAGAGACAGGGCUAUUGGAUUGGUCACCUUGGAAUUCAAUGGACACUAUCAUUGGCGAAUUUGGCUUGAUUCGUGGUGUAAAUCAAGAGAUUUUGACCUCAUUAGGAUGGGUUGAGAAUGAAUGGAAAAGUAAGGAAAUAGAGCAUAUGUAGGCAACAUGAGAAGUUUUGCUGUGAAGGGAGCAAACUUUAGGGAUAACUGUGGAAAGUUAACUUUAGGGAUAAUUUUAGGGAUAACUGUGGAAAGAAGUUUUGCUGUGAAGGGAUAACUGUGGAAAGAUCCGGGGUCAAGGGAGGAGAUGUUUUAAAACAUGGCAGGAUUCUGGAGCAUGUUUAUGUGCCAUUGGGUGUGAUACAGGAGAAAGAAGGCUUGCUUGACUUAUAUAGGAGUGAAAUCCAUGACAGGAUAUAAGGAAACUGGGAGGACUGACCUUAUACAGGAACAGGAUGCUUCCACUCUGAUAAUUAAGGUAAUAAAGGUGAAGACCAGUGCAAAUGCUGGUGAGGGUUGGAGGAGCAAGCUUACGACUUUCCUAGUAGGACUGCCUACAUUGGCUAUGUAGGACUGGCAAUAUUGGGUAUCCAUUUGAAGUUUGUAAUCAUGAAUUUAAAGUUAAACCAGUUGGGCAAUAUGUGUUUUUUUCUAGCAAUACUCAGCUGCUUGGGUACAGACAUGCAGAAAAGAGAUAAUUUGGUUUCUCAACACCAGGGCCCAAGUUUUCUGAUUCCUGAUCUCAGGUGCUUGCCUUAUUAAUUACUUAAUAUUCUAGAAACGUGUGACUAUUUGGAAAAUUUACCUGUGAUCCCUUUUUCUAGAAACCAAAUUAUCCCAUUUGUCUCUUAUGUAUACCAGAGGGCUCAAAAGUAAAGAAAAGGCAAACUUAGGGGAAAUUACUCUGGAAUAUUUGCAUCUUGCAAUUUCUUCAGUGCUCCACCCCAGAGACCUCCUGGUGUACCUAGGAACAACUGUGUACUAGGAACAACAAGGCUGACUUGCGCUUAAAUUCUUAGCUUCUUUUUCUUUCUGACAUCUUUAAUAAUCUGAUUAAUAAACUUACUAUAAGACUUUACUUCA